AACCCUGUGUCUACAAGCAGUGGAAGCACUACUGAUCUUCGGAUCAUGUGCGACCGCGUGCCUUUUGCAUAAUGAGCCAACGAGUUGUCUGUCGGUGGCAGGUUAAGUUUAUAACGGAGCCACAGCGAAAGCGAGUCUGAAGUGGGCGUCCGUCAUCGGCAACAGACCCGAAACCGAGUGAUCUACCCCUGUCCAGGUUGAAGCCUGGGUAAGACCAGGUGGAGGACCGAACCGUUGAGCCUUAAAACGUUCUCGGAUGAGGUGGGGGUAGGAGUGAAAGGCUAAUCAAACUCGGAGAUAGCUGGUUCUCCCCGAAAUAUAUUGAGGUAUAGCCUCGUGAUAGACCGUCGGAGGUAGAGCACUGGAUGGACUAGGGCCCUCACCAGGGUACCAAACCCAACCAAACUGCGAAUACCGGCGAGUUGUUUCACGGGAGUCAGACAGCGGGAGCUAACUUUCGUUGUCGAAAGGGAAACAACCCAGACCAUCAGCUAAGGCCCCCAAGUCAUGACUAAGUGGGAAAGGAAGUGGGAGUGCCCAGACAACCAGGAGGUUGGCUUAGAAGCAGCCACCCUUUAAAGAAAGCGUAACAGCUCACUGGUCGAGCGAGCCUGCACCGAAAAUUUAACGGGGCUCAAGUCAUGCGCCGAAGCUGUGGGAUUUGUAUUUAUACAAAUCGGUAGGGGAGCGUUCCCUGUGCGGUGAAGCUGAAUCGAAAGGGUCAGUGGAGCGCAGGGAAGUGAGGAUGUUGGCAUAAGUAACGAAAAUGCGAGCGAGAAACUCGCACGCCGAAAACCCAAGGUUUCCCGGGCCAUGUUAUUCAGCCCGGGGUUAGUCGGCACCUAAGACGAGGCCGAAAGGCGUAGUCGAUGGCAAACCGGUUCAUAUUCCGGUACUUGCACGUGCGCGUGAUGGAGGGACACAGGAGGAUAGACCGUCCGGGUGAUGGAUAUCCCGGUUCAAGGCAUUAGGCGGAAGUUCCAGGCAAAUCCGGGACUUCAUUCAACGCCGAGAGCUGAUGACGAGAGGCUUUGCUUCGCAAAGCGGUCGAUUCCACACUGCCAAGAAAAGCUUCUAAGCAUAGCACGGGCGAACCGUACCCCAAACCGACACAGGUGGGUGGGUAGAGAAUACCAAGGCGCUUGAGGGAAAUCAUGUUAAGGAACUCUGCAAAUUGACUCCGUAACUUCGGAAGAAGGAGUGCCUGCAGCGGUGAAGGGACUUGCUCCCUGAGCUUCAGCAGGCCGCAGUGACCAGGCCCAGCCGACUGUUUAGCAAAAACACAGCACUCUGCUAAAUCGCAAGAUGAUGUAUAGGGUGUGACGCCUGCCCGGUGCCGGAAGGUUAAGGGGAGGGGUUAGGUCUUCGGACCAAAGCUCCAAACUGAAGCCCCGGUAAACGGCGGCCGUAACUAUAACGGUCCUAAGGUAGCGAAAUUCCUUGUCGGGUAAGUUCCGACCUGCACGAAUGGCGUAACGAUCGCCACACUGUCUCAACCAGCGACUCAGCGAAAUUGCAUUGGCCGUGCAGAUGCGGUCUACCCGUGGAAGGACGGAAAGACCCUGUGCACCUUUACUGCAACUUGGCAGUGAACUUCUGGUCGUUUUGUGUAGGAUAGGUGGGAGACUUUGAAACUCUGGCGCUAGCCAGGGUGGAGUCAAUCUUGAAAUACCACCCUUAUUACACUGAUAU
rnacentral:rRNA from 1 species